UGCUCAGGACGAACGCUGGUUUGUGUGCUUAACACAUGCAAGUCGAACGGUAAGGCCCCUUCGGGGGUACACGAGUGGCGAACGGGUGAGUAACACGUGGGUGACCUGCCCUGUACUUCGGGAUAAGCCUGGGAAACUGGGUCUAAUACCGGAUAUGACCUUUCCCCGCAUGGGGGUUGGUGGAAAGCUUUUGCGGUACAGGAUGGGCCCGCGGCCUAUCAGCUUGUUGGUGGGGUAAUGGCCUACCAAGGCGACGACGGGUAGCCGGCCUGAGAGGGCGACCGGCCACACUGGGACUGAGACACGGCCCAGACUCCUACGGGAGGCAGCAGUGGGGAAUAUUGCACAAUGGGCGAAAGCCUGAUGCAGCGACGCCGCGUGAGGGAUGACGGCCUUCGGGUUGUAAACCUCUUUCAGUAGGGACGAAGCGCAAGUGACGGUACCUACAGAAGAAGCACCGGCCAACUACGUGCCAGCAGCCGCGGUAAUACGUAGGGUGCGAGCGUUGUCCGGAUUUACUGGGCGUAAAGAGCUCGUAGGCGGUUUGUCACGUCGUCUGUGAAAACCCGAGGCUUAACCUCGGGCCUGCAGGCGAUACGGGCAGACUUGAGUACUGUAGGGGAGACUGGAAUUCCUGGUGUAGCGGUGGAAUGCGCAGAUAUCAGGAGGAACACCGGUGGCGAAGGCGGGUCUCUGGGCAGUAACUGACGCUGAGGAGCGAAAGCGUGGGUAGCGAACAGGAUUAGAUACCCUGGUAGUCCACGCCGUAAACGGUGGGUUCUAGGUGUGGGUUUCCUUCCACGGGAUCCGUGCCGUAGCUAACGCAUUAAGUACCCCGCCUGGAGACGCCGACUGCCU
rnacentral:rRNA from 1 species